AUUAGAAGUUCAAACAUUGCACUAUAUUUUUCUAUCAAACAAUGAGUGUGAGUUCUUAAUCAGUAUACUUUUACUUGCUGUGAUGGGGUGAAAUUUGGGGAAAUCUGCGUAUUUGGUGUGUUUGCUUCUUCCAGGAGAAUGUUAGCAAAGUAGAAAACUUAAAUUUGGAAUAUUUGAAGUCCUAAUUAGAAAGACAUUUUUUUUUAGUUGUACUAACUUAAAAGUGUAUUUUAUUUGGGGUUUCCUCGCUUAGGUGAAAACUGUUGUCAAAACACUUUUAUUGAUUGAAAGAUGAUGAAAAUUUGAAUUUCUUCUGAGUUCUUUAAGUUCUUUGUUGAAUUUACUUCGAAGUUCUUUUUUCUUAUUUUUACGCAAAUAUUUUUAUGACUCUUAAUAGACCUAAUAAUGUUACUUUUGUUAGCUUGAUUACAAUUUUCAGGGAGGCGUAGAAGAUGUUUGACUAAGGAGUUUUUCUGUAAUUCGUGGCAGCAGUAGCAUAUAAGUUUUUCCUACAAUGAUUUUGAGGGGGAAAAUCUGCUUUCAAGUGGUUUUAAUUUUAGCUUGGAUGUACUUUUAUACAGGA
rnacentral:lncRNA from 1 species